UACGUAGGGUGCGAGCGUUACUCGGAAUUACUGGGCGUAAAGCGUGCGCAGGCGGUUUUGUAAGUCAGAUGUGAAAUCCCCGGGCUUAACCUGGGAACUGCGUUUGAAACUACAAGGCUAGAGUGUGGCAGAGGGGGGUGGAAUUCCACGUGUAGCAGUGAAUUGCGUAGAGAUGUGGAGGAACACCGAUGGCGAAGGCAGCCCCCUGGGUUAACACUGACGCUCAGGCACGAAAGCGUGGGGAGCAAACAGG
rnacentral:rRNA from 1 species